UAUCACUUGUGGUAUCACCAAGUGGUCCACAUAAGCCAUAUGUCAAAAGGGUAGAGGAGUCCCACGAGGGUAACCUGAGAUCAUAUACAUGCAGGAUCACCAGAACCCCAGGUCACCGGUGUUCAUCGCCUUCAACGUAUUCUCAGGUCGCCCGUGCAGGGCUUCCCUCUACUACACGACCAUGCUUAAUUAGGAUUUGACGAGAAAACGUCCUCCCCUGGAUUGCAAGUAUUUUUUUUAUACAAAUCUUGUCAUUGUAUUUGAGGUAAAUAGCUAAUAUAUUUGUAAUUCGUGAAUGGACUAGUGCUUGCUGACAUUGGUACUACUUCCCUUGAAUAUCAAAGAACAAUGUGUUGAUGAACUGAAAUGCUCCACCUGCCAACUUUAUGAAACUGAACACUGAUUGUUUCAGGCGAUUAGAGUGGGGAUGCUUCGUCGGGAGUCUGGAAUCGGACCAGACAGGUUUUUCUGCGGAAGCGGCUGCAGCAGAAUUCUAGGUUUUUCCUGAUUUGGGCUCAACUUUUUUUUGGGCCUUUUCUGUUUUUUGUUUUGCUAGUAUUUUCGGUUUGUAUAUUUUGUCUUUCGCCCAGUGUUUUGUAAGUAGGUGCUGCUUGUUUAAUAUUUGGUUGACCCCCAAAAAAAAAAUUGAUCAUCAGAUUUUAAACUAUUAUGUUAGCUAGCCCACCCGUUUGGAAAUUCCUAAUUCCGCAAUAUUAGUGCAGGGAAUAUUUACUGUCUUUGUUUUAUUCCCCAUAUA